rnacentral:rRNA from 1 species
AUUGAACGCUGGCGGCAGGCCUAACACAUGCAAGUCGAGCGAGCGGCGGACGGGUGAGUAAUGUAUGGGGACUGCCCGAUAGAGGGGGAUAACUACUGGAAACGGUGGCUACUACCGAAUACUAUCGGAUCACCCAUAGGGGAUUAGCUGGUAGGUGGGGUAAAGGCUGCCCUAGGUGACGAUCUCUACCUGGUCUGAGAGGAUGAUCAGCCACACGGGGACUGAGACACGGCCCAGACUCCUACGGAGGCAGCAGUGGGGAAUAUUGCAAAAUGGGCGCAAGCCUGAUGCAGCCAUGCCGCGUGUAUGAAGAAGGCCUUAGGGUUGUAAAGUACGUUCAGCGGGGAGGCGUUAACUACAGAAGAAGCACCGGCUAACUCCGUGCCAGCAGCCGCGGUAAUUC